AGAGUUUGAUCCUGGCUCAGAAUCAACGCUGGCGGCGCGCUUAACACAUGCAAGUCGCACGAGAAAGGGAGCAAUCCUAAGUAAAGUGGCGCACGGGUGAGUAACACGUGGAUUAUCUACCUUUUAGUGGGGAAUACCUCUGGGAAACCGGAGACAAUACCGCAUAAGCCCGCAAGGGGAAAGCAGCAAUGCGCUGAAAGAGGAGUCCGCGGCCGAUUAGCUAGUUGGCGGGGUAAUGGCCCACCAAGGCGAAGAUCGGUAGCCGGCCUGAGAGGGCACACGGCCACACUGGCACUGAAACACGGGCCAGACUCCUACGGGAGGCAGCAGUGGGGAAUCUUGCACAAUGGGGGAAACCCUGAUGCAGCGACGCCGCGUGAGCGAUGAAGCCCUUCGGGGUGUAAAGCUCUUUCGGCAGGAACGAUAAUGACGGUACCUGCAGAAGAAGCUGCGCCUAACUACGUGCCAGCAGCCGCGGUAAUACGUAGGCAGCAAGCGUNGUUCGGAAUUACUGGGCGUAAAGAGUGUGUAGGUGGUGUCGUAAGUUUGGUGUGAAAUCUCCCGGCUUAACUGGGAGGGUGCGCCGAGGACUGCGAUGCUGGAGUAUGGGAGAGGANAGCGGAAUUCCUGGUGUAGCGGGUCAAAUGCGUANAUAU
rnacentral:rRNA from 1 species